AUGGGAACCUGCUUUGUACGUUCAGAAGGUGCUGCUGGAGCCAUGGUGAACCGGAGGGUGACAAGUGUAGCUCGUCUCUCAUCAGCCGGUGUGCUAUAAAAGGGGGGACUGCCAGUUCAUCUGCGGCUGAGUGUUUUGUCACCUGCGGUGCAGUCUCCAGUUCUCGCUCGUUCCUGGAACAAGGAACCACAGACCCCGCCUUGGAACGUGUCUUCUCUGGACUAAUUACCAGGCUGGCAGUCUGAAACGAACUGGCACAUGGCUCCCAUUCACGAAACCCUGUCCACCCUCCACCGGAGUUCCAUCACCUGAGCUCCGAGCAGCCCGAACACCUCCAGGCUUGACAUGCCCUCUCCCUGGCGGACAUCCUGCUCCUAAUCAGUAAACUCACGUUCCCACCCAGUAUUAAUCUACUCGAGAGUCAAAUUACUCACCACCAUUCCCUCCGUACAGCUGCCCGACACCUGGUCCAGAGUCCUUCACCUGAUUUGCUACAAUGUUUGAUAAA